CUACUAUAUUAAUGAAUGUAAUCCCUCCCUUGCAUGGGAGCAUGCUUUAAAAGACCAGUGUGGUCUAAAGCUUUCAGUUCUGCUCCUGAAACUGUGUGUUGUCCAGUUAUUGGGAUUGCUGUGGGGAUACUGUUAUUUUGCCAGCUGGAAACCUUGCCUGUGGAUUUACAAUUUACUUGUUCCUGAGCCUCACUUGGAUUAUAAGCGGAGAUAACCUGGGGAAUAUUGCAUCUCCGCUACAAUAGGGAUCUCAGGAUUUUGAUGUGUACUAAUAGUGCCCACUCUUUUG